UUGAGGUUUUUCAUGAGAAGAAUUUAACCACUUGUACAAUGCAGCUUAUUGCAGUUCUCUCGGGGGCUGGUCUGGUGGCUAAUGCACUAGUUUGUUGGCCACUUUGAUCCUGGCUGCCCUGUUUUAAGUCUUGCUAUGACUGGUUAAGCUAGUGCUCUGUAACCCCGGGGAUAACUUGAGGGUUCUGAAAGUCAUGAGGCACGGUCCCCAAGAUCAAAAUAUAAAAAUAGGUCUGGGGUCAGGGAACUCAACAGGCCCUGGAAGCUCUUCACUUUUACAGCUGGAGAUGGUCUCUUAUGUAUUUAGAAUUCGUCAUUAGGAUUCUGACAAAGAACUGCAGUAUGGGAUUGCUGCAGGGCAGGCUGUUUGAAUCUUACUCUUGAUAACAAAAAAAACCCCAACUUCUGGCUGCUGACAGGAGACAAGAGAGAUAGCUCCCUCCACUUCAGUCUAUAAUACAAACGAAGAUCAGCCAUUUGUUGCAUCCGAGGUAAACUGGCCUGGAUUUGUGGUCUGAGUUCACCAUAUUUCCACAGUAUGACAUUGAAGAAGAAAGGAAUUUUACUUGUCACUUGAUAGUUAUUGUCUCAUGACACUAAGCUAUGACUUGGAGACAAAGGCCAAGUCAAGCCCCACUGUGAGAUUCAAUGAUUCCUUGGUGGAGAAAGAAGCAUUUGAUGUGGAGCCUGACACACCUGAAUGGAUGAACUAAUAAAUGAUUAAGAAGUAAGUACACCAGCAAGUUUCUUGUGCCUGGACUAAAGAUGGAGUAUAGGAUGAGUAGUAGAAGAUGUAACAACUGGGACUGGAUUACAGAUGGUCUUUGUAUUAGUCUAUUCUCACACUGCUAUAAAGAAAUACCUGAGACUGGGUCAUUUAUAAAGAAAAGAGAUUUAAUUGGCUCAUGAUCCUGCAUGCUGUACAGGAAGCAUGAUGCUGUUGUCUGCUUGGCUUCUGGGGAGGCCUCAGGAAACUUAACAAUCAUGGCGGAAGGCGAAGGGGGCACAGGCAUGUCACGUGGCCAGAGCAGGAGCAAAAGAGGAGGAGGAGGUGCUACACGUUAAACAUCCACAUCUCCCAAGACUCACUCACUAUCGUGAGGAUAGUACCAAGGGGAUGGUGCUAAGCCAUUUGUGAGAAAUCUGCCCCGUGAUCAAAUCACCUUCUACCAGGCCCCACCUCCAACACUGGAGAUUACAAUUCCACAUGAGAUUUGGGUGGGGACACAGAUUCAAACCAUAUCGGUCCUGUGGGCAAGGCAGUGCCCUGAAGACUUUAAAGUAAGAGAAGAACAUGACUCCGUUGGUGCACAGUGCAUCUUGCUGGAUGCUGGGUGCUUGGAGAACUGCUGGUUCCGGGUGGGCGCAGGCAAAGUCCAUUAUUUAUAAUUUUAUAUUAUUUGUAGCACCUAGCAUGGUGUUAGACCCAUAGUAGAUGUUUAAUAAAUAUUUAAUGAAUGACUGCUUUACCUGCUUAAUUAUGUAAAAGUCUUAUCUGAAAAUAUCAAGAUUUAAAAAAACCCACAAAUAUAAAAUUUAACUAUAGAUGUCACAUCUCACAACGACUUUCAUCUUUGAUUUUAUCUUCUCAAAUAACAUUUAUAACAUACCUAAUCUGUUGCCAAACAUAUCAUAGGCAAUUCAGAUAUAAAUGAAAUAAAAAGGAUCCCUUUGCUUUAGAAGCAUGGCAUUUAGUUAGAGAAACAAGACAUAUCCUUAGGUAAAACUCCUAAAUGACAAAACAGAACAAAUCUUACUACAUACAAAAUGAUCUCUAAGGGGAAAGAUCAUUGUGAGAUGGUUUCUUAGGAAUAAAUUUGCAAAAAGUUGGAAUUUUAUGAUAUAUUUAUUAAAUUAAGUUUAGCAUUUAAUACAGAUUUUCCAUUUGAUUUUAAAGUAAAACAGUCUCAGGCGAGGGAAACAAGUGAGCAAACGUUCACAGAAGGUAAAAAGAGGUAAAGUGUCAGAGGCCAAAUUUUAUAUUCAGAAAAACUGACUCAUCGUAGUGAGAACUAUUUGAGAGCUAUGCAUUUAAAACCUACCACUAAAAAAUAGGUGUAUAUUGUCUUUAGUGAUUCAUAGUACAUUUACAAUCACAUGUCAGUCACUGAGGGCAGCUGCAAUUUGCAUCUCAAAAACACAGAAUGUCCUUAAAGGAAAAAAUCAUUGAAACACAUCAUUCAAGAGCCUCCUGGAAGGGAAUUUUUAAUUCACUCAUUGGGUUUUAAGUAAAUGGAAGCUUACUCAAUGAACAUUUAAAACUAAUAGUUUUCUAGUAAUCGUAAUGUAUUGUUAAUAAUCUCAGAAUACUUUAUCUCACUCACAUUCUAUGGAUCAAAAGUUGGUAAAUGUGUACCCUAGCCUUGGAAAAAUGGUUUAGUAAGAACAAUUGCAUUUGCUUUAGGGUGUGUUCAAGUGGUAGCCAUGCAAGUUAGUUCACGUCUUAUAAUAUAUUUCCUUAUCUUUAUAAUGGACUACUGAUAAUAUAAACCUGUUUUCCUCAGUUUUUCCAAAGCCCAAUACACAAUUUUUUUCUCUACUUUAUUCAGUGCCUUCACUCCAAAUAAUUAGAUUGUUGUUAGUCAUUUGAAGCAGAAAUGUGUUUUAUUCUUAUGUGUUGUACACUGUAUAGGUACAAACUGAUAAAUACCUUUGCUGACCAAUUAACCAAAAACCCUCCUCUCUUUUGCCCUUUUUCAGUGGAGGCUACAGCUGUACACAGGGCACAGAAACGCUCUUCAGACCAUACUCCUACUGCCAGGGGAUGGAGAAGGCAUGGUGUCAGCAAUUCAAGACUGUUUUUCCUACCUCUUCAGUGUCUCUUUCGGCAAAAUGAAGUGAAAAUCAGACUUGUAACUGAAGAAGCCAUCAACCAAGAAAUUUCCAACAGACCCAGAUGGAAAAAGUCCCAGUGAAAGCCUGUUCUUUAGCCAAAGGGGCCAGAAAAGAGCAAGAUAGCAGGACAAGAUCUCUGCCAUCAUGUGAGAGAGAGCCUGAGUUAGCCUGCUGGAUGGUCAAAGAUGAGUGGUGCAGCUAAGUGAAAGCCUGCUGACUUGUAGACAUAUGAGUAAGGCCAUGCUUGAUCACCUGGCUGCCAGCUGGCCUGCCAACUAAUUGCAGGUACUUGAAAGAGUCCAGCAGAGAUCAGCCACCCCAGGUCAAAUAAACACCCAGCCCCCUCCCUGAGAAUGAUGAACUAAAUAAAUGUCUUAAGUACUAAGUUUUGGGUGUUUGCUACAUAGCAAAAGCUAAUUGAUACUGUUCCCAAGGAGUGGAAAACUUCUGUA
rnacentral:lncRNA from 1 species